rnacentral:rRNA from 1 species
GAUGAACGCUGGCGGCGUGCCUAACACAUGCAAGUCGAGCGAGAUUAGUGCAAGUGGAGACUUCGGUCAAAGCGACCACUAUGAAAGCGGCGGACGGGUGAGUAACGCGUGAGCAAUCUGCCCCAUACAAAGGGAUACCCACUGGAAACGGUGAUUAAUACCUUAUAAGACCACAGAGUCGCAUGGCUCGGGGGACAAAGAUUUAUCGGUAUGGGAUGAGCUCGGGGCUGAGUAGCCAGGUGGUGAGGUAAGGGAUCACCAAGGCGACGGUCAGUAGCCGGCCUGGGAGGGUGAUCGGCCACAGUGGGACUGAGACACGGCCCAGACGCCUACGGGAGGCAGCAGUGGGGAAUCUUCCGGAAUGGACGAAAGUCUGACGGUGCAACGCCGGGUGGGAGAUGAAGGCCUUCGGGUUGUAAACCUCUGUCUUCAGGGAAGAAAAAAAUGACGGUACCUGAGGAGGAAGCCCCGGCUAACUACGUGCCAGCCGCCGCAGUAA